rnacentral:lncRNA from 1 species
GGGAAGCAAGUGUUUUCCAUCUUUAAUUCUAAGUUAGCAUGAGCGAAAUCCUCUAAACAAAGAGAGCUCUGAUCCAAGUAGAUCAUCAAACUUGAUCUGAACAACUUUGAUUACUAUAGAUAUUCAGAAAGAUCAUCAGACUUAGUGUUGAUUACUUUUGUUAUUAUGAGAAUUUGAUAUAGGUCAUGUUGGCCACUACGAGUAGAAUUGGAC